GCCGGGUGGACGGUUCCUCCGCCCGCAGGAGUGGGAGGGGCUGCAGUCCUGCGUCGAGCCUCCCGCUGGCUCAACUGUCGCCGAGGAGGCCUGAGGCUGGAUCACUUUAAGAGAACUGUGUUGUCUGGACUUCUGAGUAACCAGUAAGGUGACUUCUGAGCAGUAUCCCCAGAUGCAAGAGGAAGCUUCAGAAUAGAGUCCAGAAGUAAAGACAGUAUUGCAGAACCAAAGUGCUGCACUGGAUCUGACACCAUGGAUCAGGGCCUAAUGUUUCACAAACAUAUGUAUUGAAGCCCAUAUAGCAGCCCUACGUACUUCAGAUACUGGUACAUUCUUCAGUAGUGCGGUAGAUGUUGCCUGCAAUCUGGUUGAAUGUGCUGUCUCCCUUUGGGGGUCAAGGGGAGGGGAUGAAUGCCCGCAACAUCAUAGCAAGUGAUAAUACAUCUAGAUAUCCAUCUCAAUAGUCUCUGAUUAGAGAUCAAGUAUCUUGUGGAUCUAUCCACAAAGGAAACAAAGAGGCUAAGUGACUUCCUAAAUUGCUUGGUCCUAUCUAAAUAGAACGCCAGUGCCCUUCUAACAUCCAAGGUAUGUAAACAGGAUUCCUGUAGAGAACUAUGUGACUUUGGGAAAAACACUUUUAGAUGAUUGGAUUGAUUAAGGUAGAACUCUAAUAGAACCUUAGGUAAGAAUUUAAGGAGUGGACCUAAAGAAACUUGUCCCUAAAGAACACUGUAAAUGGGGGGAAUCUGCCAUCAAAGCUCUAAUCUCCCUGACCCUCUGGACCAAUGUGAUAACUGCUAAAAAGGCCAUCUUCAUAGAUAAAUGAAACAGAGAAACAGAUUGCCUUUGGUUCAAAUGGAGGUCUCAUAAAGUAACUGAAUACAAGGUUGAGGUCCCAGGUCAGGGUGGGGUUUGUAAUCUGCAGACAGAGAUUCCCCAAACCCUUAAUAAACCUAGAAUAUAAGAGAUGAGCAAAUAUGGAGAAUCUUUCUACAGGAUGAUGAAAGACUGAUAUUGCAGCCAAAUGGACCUUAACUAAAGAAACUGGGGUCACCAAUCAGUUCAGAUCCAACAGAUAAUCCAGGAUGUCUGAAAGUGGCACCAAGUCAAGCAGGAGGCAGCAAUGACACCACCAAUGGAAGAAUUUCUUCCAUUUCUGCAUGCCGUGAGGCAGAGGACUGGUAGGUUUGGAUAAAAUGCAUGACUUGUGUCUUGUGACAAGAGAUAAUGGUCAGGAGCUUGGAUGAUGGUUGGACACAUAGAUGAAGCAGGUAAGGGUAGUCCGGCGAUUGGGGUCUCAGUACCAAGAGGUGCUCAGUACCUGUGAGGAAUGGGGAUUCUGGUUCAUCUGUUAUCAAGAGUUGCUUAGUAUAUCUGAACUCCUGUGGUACCAAAUAGGGGAUUGGUACUGAUGCAGAAGCCAAGGCCACUGCCUAUGGAGCGGGGGCAUACCGAAGUAGAGGCUGGUGGUGUCCAGCGCCAUUGCUUGCUUGGUGCCGAAAGUGCUGUAUGCCUGGGUACCAACAGCUGGGCUGAACUCGAUGAUGCCAGUCUCAAGUGUCUGUGCUUUCCUUCCUUCCUGGUAGAAAGUACUGAGGCCCUAUCAGACCCAUGUCUCUCCUUUGUGCUCUAGGAUUUUAUGGCCUCGCUGGUACUGCAGGAGGAAUCCUUCAAGUCAACAGUACCGAAUUGAGAGGUUGAGGCUUUGGAGACCAUAGAUCUCACCAGGGACCUGGACUUUUUUAAAACUGGCACCUUAAGAGUGAGAAACGACGUUUGGGAGUUAUUCCGUCCAGCAAGUCUUCUGUCCUCUUGGGCAGCUUUCCGAUAUCUCUCGCAACUGUCUCAUUCAAUUGCCUUAUUGAACUCCUGGGGGGAUUCUGCACCAAAAAAAUUAAAAAUUCUGCAAAAUUCUGCAUAUUUUAUUUGUCAAAAUAACACAAUAUAAUUACACUAGCUUCAAUUAUUUUGGUAAUUUAUUUCAAAAUACCUGUCAGCAAGUAUGUCUGUAACAAUACAGACAACAAAAAAGAUUCAGAAAAUGUUUUUUGACAAAUAGAUUCCUUACUAUGCAUAUUAAUACAGAACUCUGAGUAAUAAUUCAUUUAAACUACAAUACAGAACCAUAUUUCCUGCACCCCUCAGAAGCAGUGCAAAGACUUGGGGGAGUCAGAGGUAAUGGAGGAGCUGAGGGAGAGGGAAGUAAUUGCUGGGAAGGAGCCUGGGUGUGAACUUGGAGGGUUGUUGGGUGUGGGUGGGAAAAGUAUAGAACAGGUUUUUUUGUGGGCGCAGGGAUCGUUAGGGAGUCCAGGACCAGAUUAUGACAUUCUGAGGCCCUAAACUAUGUCAAGUGUAAGAGGCCCCAUACCAUAAAAAAAAGAAUUAUUUUCACAGAAAGGAUAUUGAAUAUAUAAACACGAAAGCUUUAUAUUUGCACAUAUACAAAGUAAAGUUGUACAAAUAGAAUAAUAAUCUAACUAAAACACGUCUUGCAAUAUGCCUGUUUGUAAAAUAGUUUCAAAUUAACAUAUUUUCAUCUAUGAUUUCUUAAUUAGUAGAUAUGAAAACUUUAUAUCUACAGCAACACAAAAGCAGUUACAGUUAAACAGACCAGCUUACUUCAUGGAAGCAGUACAACCUGCAGUAUGUCUGUUGGCACAUCACAUUAAUUUUAACACUGAAAUUUAAAAUAUUUUCUUUUGUGAUUUUUGGAGAGCAAAGACAUUGAUGAUGUCUUCAAACGAUAAGCUAUGGAGUUUGUCACUUUCAACACACAAAAUGCUUAGGGCAAAUAGCUUUUCUUGCAGCAUUGUUGUCUGCAGUUCAUUCUUGAUAUAUUUCAGUUGUGAAAAUGACCUUUCUCCUGAGCAGUUUGUUACCAUUAGAUUAAAAAAAAAGCCACAAAAUCACUUUAAAAAACCAGUAAAAAAAUAUUAUAUUAUAAAUAUUGAAAUUUUAUAUAUAUAUAUAUAUAUAUAUACACACAACAACAAAUAAUAUUUUAUUAAUAUAUGUAUGCCGAAAACCUGUGUUAUUUUACAAGGAUAUUUCUGUGAAAGUUAGUGCUAUUUUAUCUAUGUUCUCACAGGAAAACAAGAGAGGAUAUAUAAUUUUUUUUACACCAUGAAUUAGUAAAAUUAUCUUUCUUUUCAUAUGAAUAAAUGAAAAAUUGUUUGAUUAAUUUUGUUAGGGAAAGACAAAGUUUAUCCAGAUUAUAUAUAAAAUAUAUUUACAAAUGUUUAUUCUGAUUUAAUUUUCACUAUGAAACAAUUAAUUGUUCAGAUUUUUCUUUUGCCAUACUAUAAAAAUACAAUGUAUUAUGUAUAUGAUAUGUGAUUUAUAAGUCUAUAUAAGAAUUUUUACAUAGCAUACUACCUAUAAAAAAUAUUAUCUUGCGUACUCCAAACCUGCCAAGCAGAAAAUCCCAGUCUUUUUUCUAGGCAGACAUCUCUCUUCGCGUUUGCUUUUCUAUCCUCUGUCCUCCCACAGGACCACUAAUUAAUCUCGAGUAAAGACCUCGGACACACAGAGUGACAACAAGCUAUAUGCGCAACAGAGAAAGAAGAAAUUUACAAGAAAAGAGACUGGUAAUCUCUAGACAGCCAUUGAGAAAGUGAGAAAAACUAGCCUACAUUCAAGCAAAUAUAAUGAAUAUUUAAUAGCCUAUAAAUCAUAUAUGCACAUAGUUUAAAAUAACUUGCUCAAAAAGUACUCAGAAUAUUUUGAUAUAUAUGUAUAUCUUCCUUCACUUCUCUCAAAACCCUCUAUUUAUCCUUUUGUCAGCACUCUCUGAUAUUUAUUGUGAAGGUUCCCGAAACUCAGGGAGGGAAGCCAACACAAAUUUAUUCUCCUCAAGAUCCACUUGACGCAAGUCCCUAGAACGAUCACCUGCAAACUCAGUCAUGUGAAGCAUGGAUAGCGCAUGAAGCAGAAAGUGGCGUGCCCACUAAAAUACACAAUUGUACAUAUGUACAGCUCAAAAGAAAAAAGAACACACUAACACCUAAGAAAAUGAUACAUGACGUCACUCCCAGGACGAGUCCCUAGGAGUAUGAGCUUGGCAGGAUUGCUUAAUGACACUGCCAUCUCGGACCUCACAUUUUUCCCAGUUUUAUCAGCUGUGAGAUUAUUUAUUUAUUUAAAUAAGUUAUGAAGGCAUGGUCAGAAUUUUACCAGUAGCAGCUGGCCAACAAAACGCUGCUUAGGAAACUGAUAGCAGACUUACUCAUAGAAAUACUAUUUUUACAAGUGCAAUUAUCGUUUUUUCUCAGCUCUGGCUUCCCACCUGUCAAUAAUGAAGAAUUAGUGAAGGGUAAGGGUAUUUGUGCAGCCAGAUGUGUAUAUUUUUGUCAUAUUUCAACAAAAAUGUCUGUAAUUUAGAGAGAAUCUUCUUUUUCCCAUAUUUCCUUUAUUUAUCAACUGAUUUUGAUAAAAUCUGAAAUGGAGUCAGUUUUUUCUUUUUUAGAGACCCCUCAUAUU